AGAGUUUGAUCCUGGCUCAGGAUGAACGCUAGCGGCAGGCCUAAUACAUGCAAGUCGAACGAUACCAGGGAGCUUGCUCUCUGGGAAAGUGGCGCACGGGUGCGUAACGCGUAUGCAACCUACCUUUAUCAGGGGGAUAGCCUCUCGAAAGAGAGAUUAACACCGCAUAAAAUCAAAGAACGGCAUCGUUUAAUGAUCAAAUAUUUAUAGGAUAAAGAUGGGCAUGCGUGACAUUAGCUAGUUGGUGAGGUAACGGCUCACCAAGGCGACGAUGUCUAGGGGAUCUGAGAGGAUGACCCCCCACACUGGUACUGAGACACGGACCAGACUCCUACGGGAGGCAGCAGUAAGGAAUAUUGGUCAAUGGAGGCAACUCUGAACCAGCCAUGCCGCGUGCAGGAAGACGGCCCUAUGGGUUGUAAACUGCUUUUAUUCGGGAAUAAACCUCAUUACGUGUAGAGAGUUGAAUGUACCGAAAGAAUAAGGAUCGGCUAACUCCGUGCCAGCAGCCGCGGUAAUACGGAGGAUCCAAGCGUUAUCCGGAUUUAUUGGGUUUAAAGGGUGCGUAGGCGGCUUAUUAAGUCAGGGGUGAAAGACGGUGGCUCAACCAUCGCAGUGCCUUUGAUACUGAUGAGCUUGAAUACACUUGAGGUAGGCGGAAUGUGACAAGUAGCGGUGAAAUGCAUAGAUAUGUCACAGAACACCAAUUGCGAAGGCAGCUUACUAAGGUGCAAUUGACGCUGAGGCACGAAAGCGUGGGGAUCAAACAGGAUUAGAUACCCUGGUAGUCCACGCCCUAAACGAUGAAUACUCGAUGUUAGCGAUAUACAGUUAGCGUCUAAGCGAAAGCGUUAAGUAUUCCACCUGGGGAGUACGCCCGCAAGGGUGAAACUCAAAUGAAUUGACGG
rnacentral:rRNA from 1 species